GCACAGAGAUAGGCAGAUAGAUCGGUGCAAUAGAAUUGAAGACCCAGAAAUGAACCCACACACCUCUGGUUUUUCUUUGACAAAGAAGCUAAAACAAUCCAGUGGGAAAAAAAGACAACAUUUUCUGUUAAAAGACCCCCCUCCCAGAAAGGAAAUUGUACAAGCCCAAGGCCCUCAACUAUAGAAAUAAAAAGUAAGUUUUUAGAUAUGUGGGACAAGCUGACCCAUCAUUUAGACGAAACAGACCAGAAAAGAAAACAAAAUACAAAAACCAGACUAAAUUAUGGACAUUGCUCCAUGGGCCACCUGACAGGAAAAAGAAAAAGUCCCUGACCCCCCGGAAGCUCUGACCACCAUGUACUUUUUGCUAACUCACUGUUAUGAUUAUAGCCAAAAUAAAUAACAUACACGUAUGCCUCAUUUACUCCACCAAUCACAUCCCUGUAACCAUGCAUCUGCUUCUGUAAGCCUGCUUCUGCUCCCCAAUGCCCUAUAAAAACCCGUCCCUGGUUCUGCUAGGCACGCCAGUCUUCCAAAUUGACUGGUACGCCACAGAUACCUGUGUAUAAUGAUCAAUAAAAAUCCUCUUACAGAUUACAGCCUGUGGACUCGGACUGGUCAUUGGGCUCGAGGAUCUCCCUCCUGAGGGAAGAUUCUCUCUGAGAGUCUUACAUAUGGGGGCUCGUCCGGGAUCGGAGAUCCUCUGCCCAGAGACCACUGACCACCCACCGGGAGGUAAGCUGGCCAGCAUUUGUCUUGUCCUGUCUUGUCUUGCUUUGUGACUUGUUCUGUAAAUGCUUAGUUACUUGGCUUGGGUCUAUACCGUUUGUAUUUGGGCGGGCCAGAGAAGGAGCUGAGGAGCUCGGACUUCUCCCCCGCAGCCCUGGAAGACGUUCCAAGGGUGUUUAGAGCCCGGUUUUUUGGGGCUCAGCCUGUAUUGGAAGGAUACGUGGUUUGGGGUUGGAGGAGAGAGGAGAGAGCCGGAUCCACUGAAGGAUCCGGACCCUCGUCGCCUCUGUCUGAAUUUUUGGUUUCAGUUUGACACCGAAGCCUCGCGGUGCGUCUGUCUGUCUGUUGGAAUUGUUUGUCUUCUUUGUGUCCUAAUUUUCUUUGAACAUCUGUGGAAAUUGGUUAUAGGAUGCUUUGUCUUGGUUUUGUUUGUCUGGUUUGUUUUCUGUGGUAUUGUCGAGUGUCUUUUUGGCUUUUGUUUCGUUUUUGGACUUUGGACAGACGACUGUGUUUAAAAUCUUGGACUGACAACUGUGUUUGAAAUCAUGAAACUGUUUGCUUUGUUUGUCAAGGAGUUUUACUUGGUCCUCUUGGUGCUUAACUUGGAAAUAAUUUGCUUGAGAAAAAUUGUUUUAUCUUUCUCUCUUAGCCUCCUCCCCAAGGAGAGAUGCCCCUCCCUUUGCUCCCCUUGUCCAGUCUAGCUGCUGUUAACAGUUGUGUAUGAAGAACUCCAGGUUAGUGAGUGACCCUGUCUGAAGCAGGUAUUAACAAGAGCCUGAAAGCUUUACCUUAGAUCCUGAAGAAAAAUUCUCCCUGUUGCUUAAACAUUCACAGCUUCUAAGGAAGGGACAGCACAGAGUAGGAAAAUGUAGGGGCUGAGGGUGACAAGCAUACAGGCCUGCUAGCAAGCUGCAGGCUGCGCGUGGGCAGUGGCGCAGCUCUGGCCAAGUCAGCGUAAGAGGAGUUUCAAGGUGAUGAGGCCGGCCGGCUUUGACAACAAGAAGAUAGCGUAGAGUUAGUGGUUGUUUUAUGAGACUUUUGGCCCUGAAAAAAUAAUAAUUCCAGUUGCUGCCUUCAGUGACCAGACCUUCAACACUUGCUCACAGAAGGAGAGCGUUCAUUAGGAGUUCUUUAAGGGAGCCUGCCUUAUCUGCUGGCCCUAUUCCAAGAGAGGAGUUGAUCUCCAACAUUAAGUAACCUUCCCUGUUAGUCAUCAUUGACAUGGAGAGUGCCUUUGAUCCUAUCCCCACAGCAGCCAGUUCCUGCCCCUGUGGUCAAAAUGCCCCAGGUUGGGGGACAGAGAAGCCCCUAAAAUAGUUUCAAAAAGAAUCUGCAACAAACUGUGAAGAACUUUGUUUUGCCAGUCAAAAUUUAGAAUUCAGGCUUUGGCUGUGGCCAAGGUCAGUAUUAAUGUUUUCCUUUCCAUGGGCAUUUAACCCAAUGAGACAGUUUGGUAAAGGGCUGCUACUGAGGUCCUGAAAGUCCCAGGUGAACUGGUUACAAUUCUUUUGUCAGCCACUUGGCAUCUAGCAUCCAGGUCCUAACCAUCUCUCCAUCCUUUUGUUAUUAGUUCUUAAGUCCAGAGAGAUAGUCGGUAACAGAUCAGCUCCCUCUUUGCUUGCCGUCCUGUUUCACAGACACAAAGCUUGUGCUUAUUUUUACAAUGGCCUUUUUGUCCCAAGAAAGCCUCUUGGCUUAGCUGUGUGACUAAAUGCUAUUUGUCCUCUUCAGUGGACCUCUAUUCUCAAGAUUCUCUUGUUUUCUCACCAUCCCGUUUGAGAUGCUUGUUAGUAACUGUUACAGGUCUUCUUUACCACCGAGGAAAGACAGAAUCCUGCUAGAGGCCAGAAAGAAUGUUCCAGACAUAGAUGGAAGACCCUCACUCCUGACUGUUGACUUGAAUACCCCUGAAGGCUAAAAGACCUACCGGUGAUACAGAAAGAAAUCUGCUCACAGUUGACAGCAGCCUAUGCCCUGGAGACCCCUGAGACAUGUCAUCAGUUCCAGGUUAGAGACUACAGCUACACUGAGCCCAGACACUCGAGCCUCACUGGAAAGGACCGUACCUGGUGCUGCUGACCACCCUGAUAGCCAUCAAGUCUCAGCCCUCACCAGCAGCGUACUAGCUGUUGGGGCUGAGAGCUGGGACCUAGAGGGACACUCAGAUCUUCAAAAAGCUCCCUAGACUUAAGUGACUGGGAGGUUGCUAUAAUGCUCACUUGAGGAGUGUGUUUUAGAAACAAGAAUUUCAUGUUUGCCUGUUUGCCCUGGGUUCCCUCAGAAUAGGUGUAAAGAUAGGCUUGAUUUUUAUUACAAAUGAUGUAACAUUACAUAUGCUAGUACUCCUAACACUUCUUGGGACUGUGCCUCAGGGAUCACAACCUAUAUAAGUUUAAAAGUUCUAAAAGACCUUGGUGUAUAGGUUCAGAUAUUGUCCAAAUUAGAAUCCUGAUGCUAAAGACUUAAUAAGACACAAAAGAGAGUUGAAAAUUAUUUAAGGCUAUCUAGGUGCUACAAGGGCAGCACAAGGACAUCUGCUGUUGCCCUAUAAUGCAAGGCUUAUAGAAAAUUCAAAAUUGCCAUUGACUCAGAUAUAAAAAAAAUUAAAAAAAGACUUUUUAGCUGACCUCCAAGAACACCUAACCUCCCUCUCAGAGGUAGUCCUUCAAAACAGGAGAAGAUUAGACCUGAUAUUCCUUAAAGAAAGAGUCUGUGUGCUACACUAAAAAAAAUGUUGUUUCUAUAUAGAUCAGACAGGAAUAGUAAGAAAUACAGACUUUCAGUCAUUCAAACUUUUGUGCUGAGACAACAGUAUCAGAUGGCGAAACAACAAAAAACAGAGGUACCUUAACCAAGUUGAGUGGAAGAUUCCACUCAAGGACAAAAAAAAAGAAAAUGGGGGAAUAAAAGACCCCCUCCAAGAAAGGAAAUUGUACAAGUCCAAGGCCCUCAACUAUAGAAAUAAAAAGUAAGUUUUUAGAUAUGUGAGACAAGCUGACCCAUCAUUUAGACGAAACAGACCAGAAAAGAAAACAAAAUACAAAAACCAGACUAAAUUAUGGACAUUGCUCCAUGGGCCACCUGAUAGGAAAAAGAAAAAGUCCCUGACCCCCCGGAAGCUCUGACCACCAUGUACUUUUUGCUAACUCACUGUUAUGAUUAUAGCCAAAAUAAAUAACAUACACG